GAGAUUUCCCACACCACAGCGCAGUGGCAAACGAGCACCCUGCGGGGAAAGCUCGGGCAGAGGAGGACUGGGCGACAGCCUCAGGUCACCAACACCGCUACGGAACUGCAGCACGGCUGAGGCGCACCGAACACCGGCGGAGGCAGGGGCGCAGCCGGAGCUUCACCUGCUCGGAGACUCGCCGGGAAGUCGCCCCCUCACCGAGGGGGUGCGGAGCGGCUCCCUGCGGGAUGCCGCCCUCCUCCCGCGAUACCACGGCGGGGGCUGCCGGCGCCGGGGGCCGAACCGCUGCGGCAGCAGCAGCGCGGCGGGGCGAGGGGGGUCCGCGGCGCCCUUCGGCAGCGGGCGGCGGCAGCCGGGCCGCCCUCCCCACGCCCCGCUCCAGCCGCCGCCGCCACCGGGCUGCACUGCGCUAGGGGCUGCUGCACCUGAGCGGCUGUGUCAGCGGGGGCAUAAACCAAAACCAGCCCCCGGCGAAUGCAUUAUGUAAUUUGAGAUUAUAUAAUCCUGAAAUACGAGGGGGAAAAAAAAAUCCCCCAAACCC